GAUGAACGCUAGCUACAGGCUUAACACAUGCAAGUCGAGGGGAAACGAUAUUGGAAGCUUGCUUCCGAUAUGCGUCGACCGGCGCACGGGUGAGUAACGCGUAUCCAACCUGCCCACCACUUGGGGAUAACCUUGCGAAAGUAAGACUAAUACCCAAUGAUAUCUCUAGAAGACAUCUGAAGGGGAUUAAAGAUUUAUCGGUGAUGAAUGGGGAUGCGUCUGAUUAGCUUGUUGGCGGGGUAACGGCCCACCAAGGCUACGAUCAGUAGGGGUUCUGGGAGGAAGGUCCCCCACAUUGGAACUGAGACACGGUCCAAACUCCUACGGGAGGCAGCAGUGAGGAAUAUUGGUCAAUGGGCGAGAGCCUGAACCAGCCAAGUGGCGUGCAGGAUGACGGCCCUAUGGGUUGUAAACUGCUUUUAUAAGGGAAUAAAGUGAGUCUCGUGAGACUUUUUGCAUGUACCUUAUGAAUAAGGACCGGCUAAUUCCGUGCCAGCCGCCGCCGUAA
rnacentral:rRNA from 1 species